rnacentral:rRNA from 1 species
CCUACGGGUGGCAGCAGUGGGGAAUAUUGCACAAUGGGGGAAACCCUGAUGCAGCGACGCCGCGUGAGUGAAGAAGUAUUUCGGUAUGUAACGCUCUAUCAGCAGGGAAGAAAAUGACGGUACCUGAUUAAGAAGCCCCGGCUAACUACGUGCCAGCAGCCGCGGUAAUACGUAGGGGGCAACCGUAAUCCGGAUUUGUUGGGUUAAAGGGGUGCGCAGGCGGCCUGUUAAGUCAGCGGUAAAAGCCCGGGGCUAAACCCCGGCGAGCCGUUGAAACUGGCGGGCUGGAGUUGGAGAGAAGUACGCGGAAUGCGUGGUGUAGCGGUGAAAUGCUUAGAUAUCGCGCAGAACCCCGAUUGCGAAGGCAGCGUACCGGCUCCACACUGACGCUGAGGCACGAAAGCGUGGGUAUCGAACAGGAUUAGAUACCCUAGUAGUC